GCGAGGUGCUUUUGGGAAAGCAAAGAAGAAGAAUCUUUGAAGCACUAGACGAAGGAGCCUUCAUAUAUAAAUCCGUCACCCCCAUUCAUUUCGAUGGGGGUGCUACGGGCGGAACCACCGGGUUGUAGCCCCCAGUGUAGUUAGGAAAGAUAAAAAUCUGGUGAACAUGUGCUCAAAUUCAAUUGGACCAUGGAUCAAAUGGCACAUUGAGGUAUUGUUCUUGGUUUUUAAAUAUUUCAAAGAGGUUAUAUAACUUGAGCAAACUGAUGAUAAGAUGUAGGUAGAGCUAGAAAAGACGGUUGGACAUGGGUGCACCCACAUUAUGCCGCAAAUAUGUUGUUGCAUCAUGAGGUAACUUGCAUCAUGUAACUUGUUUUUAAAAGACUAAUUGGACAAUUGCACUCAUGAAUUUCCUUUAAACUUC